rnacentral:rRNA from 1 species
CCUACGGGUGGCAGCAGUGAGGAAUAUUGGUCAAUGGCCGGAAGGCUGAACCAGCCAUGCCGCGUGAAGGUCAGUGCCCUAUGGGCGUUAAACUUCUUUUGUGCGGGAGCAAUAAUGGUCACGUGUGGUCCGACGAGAGUACCGUAAGAAUAAGCAUUGGCUAACUCCGUGCCAGCAGCCGCGGUAAUACGGGGGAUGCAAGCGUUAUCCGGAUUUAUUGGGGUUAAAGGGUGCGGAGGCUGUGAGGUAAGUCAGCGGUGAAAUGCCCCCGGUUAACGGGGUGAAGUGCCAUUGAUACUGGCUGGCUGGAGUGCGGAUGACGUGGGAGGAAUGUGUGGUGUAGCGGUGAAAUGCAUAGAUAUCACACAGAACACCGAUUGCGAAGGCAGCUCACGGGUCCGCGAUUGACGCUGAUGCACGAAAGCGUGGGUAUCAAACAGGAUUAGAUACCCCAGUAGUC